UAAUAUUUUCAAUAUGAGUCAGCUCCAUAUACUAUGAUGAUUUUCAAACAACCAGAAGUUGACUGUAGCCGACUUUAAGACAGGAAGCAUGGGUACAGAAUCCAGUUGCUUCCACCCUGGGGGCAGGUCUAGGUUCAGUGGUCAUGAGUUUUCUGGCUUGUGGCCCGAGUCUGGUUGGAUGAUGCUCAGAAUCCUCCUAGUCCCCUUAUUUUCCUGACUCUGCUCUCCUGGUGGGGGCGAGGGGCUCUCCCAUCACCAGUGCACUCCUUGAAGGAAACUGCUCUGCCUGAUACACCUGCCUGAGAAUCCUGGAUCUCCAAAGCGACGCCAGCAGCUCAGCAUAGGCUUCUGUCUCGUGGGUGAGGCCGUGGGCCUCCAGCACCCAUACGGCUCCUGACUGCCACACGACACAGCACAAUCAAUGUCCAGGACAAAAGCUGCCACCCCAAAGCCAGGAGAUUUAAAGACACAGGACCCAGGGAUAAACACACGUCUGAUGCCUGGUGCAGUCUCUGAAAUGUGAACCACAGAGAGGACUGGUGGCCACGGGACACAGAGGCACUGCCUAAGGCAUUUCUACUUUUAUGGGCUCUUCUCUCCACAAAGAUGGCAUUUGUCUGAGCACUUACAAAGAUUACUCACCAAGAAAGAGAUGCUGGGCAAAUCUCCCACCUUAGAAACCCUGUCGCCUGCCUGGCUGAGCCCCUGAGUCGACACUUGUAUGGCUGUGACUCAGCCUUGGAACAAGGCUCAUUCUGCUGGAAUCACAGGAUCUUGCUUGAAAAGGUCGAGGCACUAAACUCAGGAGCUGUAAGCCCAGAUCCCUUCAGAGUCCAGAUAAGAAGAGGAAAGUUGGAAGGAGGUUUUCUUCCUCAGAAUCUUGCUCUUGGCUUUUAAGCGAAGACAUGUAGCAGUCUUCCUAUGCUACUUGUCACCUGCACGACAUGGGCUUUGAAACUCACGUGGUGACUGCCUCUCUCCCUGGGUCCCUCGGCCAGUGUGACAUCACAGGACACAAGAUACAGCUUCAGCCCUGGGCCACCACCACCCUUCAUAAACUCUGGAUUUUUAAUUGCACCAACUGUAUACUCAACCAAUCCCAUGAUGGCAGUCCCUCAAACCCCUCAGCAUCAACCAGAAGAGAUGAACCUGCACAGGGACCCCUCAGCAAAGGGGUCUCCCAGCCACACAGCACAGAGCUGGGACUGAAGCCAGAUGGGCCACCCAAACAGGAGAGGAGACCAAACAGCCACACCCUCCAGGAGGGGGCCCGCCAGCCCCCAGGCUGUGCUGGGGGCAAACAGAAUAUUCUCUGAGCCACUCCAACUUGAGAAAUCGGGUGCUGACUCAUUAUUAACCCAGGAAGCCCACGCACUCAAAUGACUGUACUGAAAAAGCUCUGUCAUACCCUGCUUACUGAUGUGCAGAUUUUUAAGCAAAUUUGAAAAAUGUUUAUCAUAAGGUAUUUAUGACAUUUUAACCGUUUCAUUUACAGUAAGCAGACGACAUUUGAAAAAAAAGUUUCCUGUAUAUUACUUGACAGUAAAGCGAAGCUUUAUCAGAAUAGUAACAGCUUGAGAAACACAUAUCAAGGUCAAGUCAAGCCUCAACGACUCAGCUCCCCCAUCCUCACACCCCCGCCCCCGCUGCCCCCA